UACGUAGGGUGCAAGCGUUGUCCGGAAUUAUUGGGCGUAAAGAGCUCGUAGGCGGUUCGUCGCGUCGGCUGUGAAAAACCUGAGGCUCAACCUCAGGCCUGCAGUCGAUACGGGCGGACUUGAGUACUGCAGGGGGAGACUGGAAAUUCCUGGUGUAGCGGUGAAAAUGCGCAGAUAUCAGGAGGAACACCGGUGGCGAAAGGCGGGGUCUCUGGGGCAGUAACUACUGAGGA
rnacentral:rRNA from 1 species